rnacentral:rRNA from 1 species
GACGAACGCUGGCGGCGUGCUUAACACAUGCAAGUCGAACGGUAAGGCCCUUCGGGGUACACGAGUGGCGAACGGGUGAGUAACACGUGGGUGAUCUGCCCUGCACUUCGGGAUAAGCCUGGGAAACUGGGUCUAAUACCGGAUAGGACUCCUGGCUUCAUGGUUGGGGGUGGAAAGCUUUUGCGGUGUGGGAUGGGCCCGCGGCCUAUCAGCUUGUUGGUGGGGUAAUGGCCUACCAAGGCGAAGACGGGUAGCCGGCCUGAGAGGGUGACCGGUCACAAUGGGACUGAGAUACGGCCCAGACUCCUACGGGAGGCAGCAGUGGGAAAUAUUGCACGAUGGGCGCAAGCCUGAUGCAGCGACGCCGCGUGAGGGAUGACGGCCUUCGGGUUGUAAACCUCUUUCAGCACCGACGAAGCGCAAGUGACGGUAGGUGCAGAAGAAGGUCCGGCCAACUACGUGCCAGCAGCCGCAGUAA